ACCUCUUUUAGUUCGGGAAGAAGCGAAGUGACGGUACCACCAGAAGAAGUACCGGCUAACUACGUGCCAGCAGCCGCGGUAAUACGUAGGGUGCAAGCGUUGUCCGGAAUUAUAGGGCGUAAAGAGCUCGUAGGCGGUUUAGUCGCGUCUGCUGUGAAAAUCCAAGGCUCAACCUUGGACCUGCAGUGGGUACGGGCAAGCUAGAGUGCGGUAGGGGAGAAGGGAAUACCUGGUGUAGCGGUGGAAUGCGCAGAUAUCAGGAGGAACACCAAUGGCGAAGGCACUACUCUGAGCCGUAACUGACGCUGAGGAGCGAAAGCGUGAGGAGCGAACAGGAUUAGAUACCCUGGUAGACCACACCGUAAACAGUGGGUGCUAAUAGUGGGUCACAUUCCACGUGAUCCGUGACGCAGAUAACGCAUUAAGCACACCGACUGGGGAGUACAGUCGCAAGACUAAAACUCAAAGGAAUAGAC
rnacentral:rRNA from 1 species